GCCCAGACUCCUACGGGAGGCAGCAGUGGGGAAUAUUGCACAAUGGGCGGAAGCCUGAUGCAGCAACGCCGCGUGCGGGAUGACGGCCUUCGGGUUGUAAACCGCUUUCGCCUGUGACGAAGCGUGAGUGACGGUAAUGGGUAAAGAAGCACCGGCUAACUACGUGCCAGCAGCCGCGGUGAUACGUAGGGUGCGAGCGUUGUCCGGAUUUAUUGGGCGUAAAGGGCUCGUAGGUGGUUGAUCGCGUCGGAAGUGUAAUCUUGGGGCUUAACCCUGAGCGUGCUUUCGAUACGGGUUGACUUGAGGAAGGUAGGGGAGAAUGGAAUUCCUGGUGGAGCGGUGGAAUGCGCAGAUAUCAGGAGGAACACCAGUGGCGAAGGCGGUUCUCUGGGCCUUUCCUGACGCUGAGGAGCGAAAGCGUGGGGAGCGAACAGGCUUAGAUACCCUGGUAGUCCACGCUGUAAACGGUGGGUACUAGGUGUGGGGUCCAUUCCACGGGUUCCGUGCCGUAGCUAACGCUUUAAGUACCCCGCCUGGGGAGUACGGCCGCAAGGCUAAAACUCAAAGGAAUUGACGGGGCCCCGCACAAGCGGCGGAGCAUGCGGAUUAAUUCGAUGCAACGCGUAGAACCUUACCUGGGUUUGACAUGGAUCGGGAGUGCUCAGAGAUGGGUGUGCCUCUUUUGGGGUCGGUUCACAGGUUGGGCAUGGCUGUCGUCAGCUCGUGUCGUGAGAUGUUGGGUUAAGUCCCGCAACGAGCGCAACCCUUGUCUGGCUGUCGUCAGCUCGUGUCGUGAGAUGUUGGGUUAAGUCCCGCAACGAGCGCAACCCUCGUCGCUAGUUGCCAGCAUUUUGGCUGUCGUCAGCUCGUGUCGUGAGAUGUUGGGUUAAGUCCCGCAACGAGCGCAACCCUUGUUCACUGUUGCCAGCACGUUAUGGUGGGGACUCAGUGGAGACCGCCGGGGUCAACUCGGAGGAAGGUGGGGAUGACGUCAAGUCAUCAUGCCCCUUAUGUCCAGGGCUUCACGCAUGCUACAAUGGCUGGUACAGAGAGUGGCGAGCCUGUGAGGGUGAGCGAAUCUCGGAAAGCCGGUCUCAGUUCGGAUUGGGGUCUGCAACUCGACCUCAUGAAGUCGGAGUCGCUAGUAA
rnacentral:rRNA from 1 species